rnacentral:lncRNA from 1 species
GACGGUAGGAUGGUGGUGGCAGCGGCGACGGAGAAAUGAUAGUGGCAUGAUAGGUAAAGGAGGAAGGCGGCGGUGAUACGCGAUGGGGUUUGGGAAGGGGUGGUAGAAUGGGGCUAUUGAGGGUAUUAAGGGGUGCGGAUCGAGGUAGGGGAAAGGAGGAUUUAGGGCGUGGGGGUUUGGUGUUGUCCGAACGAAGGGAGGGGGUUGUUAGGGUGGUGCGGUUUGACAGGGGUGGCGUGGUGGUUCGUGGAGAGGUAGGGGAGCAGCGGGGGCUAAGGUUUUGUUGUGUGGGGAAUUAGGAGGAAGAAGAUAAAAAUGAAAAAUAAAUUAGGGCUAGGGUUUUUUAAGGGUGACACAGUUGUGUAAAGGCUCAUGUUAGGCCAUACGACCGUGUCACACGCCCAUGUGGCUCUUGUUCAGCCUGUGUGCUAUAAUAUUUUUAACCCAGUCUUCACACCGCAUAGGACACACCCGUAUGUUUUGG